AACCAUAACAGUUGAAGAAGUAACUGACGAUGAUAAAGUUGUAGUUUAUUCUAAAAUGGAAUUCCUGAUCUUAAUUUUAUCAGCUCACGAAGCUCAUAAAGAAUGAAAUAAUGUGCAUACAUGAGUUUUGAAAACUUUAGAACACUAUGUAACAUCAUCAUCAUCACAUCAUCUUCAUCCUCAUAUAUUUGAUGUAAUUCAGAAAGAAACCACUUGGAGGAAAGGUUUAAGGUUUCCACACCUUUGAUUCAAAGAGAAGAAGAACCAGGCAACUACUUCAGCUGCAGUUCACUGUGGACAUCUCCUUUGAGUUGCAGAUGAAAGAACUGAGAGAUGAAAUGACACGCCCAUAGUCAUAUUUUAACGGUUAUUGGAGAACAAUUUCUGUCAGGUCACUUCCUGACCAGCUGGAUGCUAUGCUGCCUGCUUUUCAGUCUCCAUGUCCACCUAGCACUGAGAAUCCCAACCCUGUCACUAGGAUUGGUGAACAUGUCAUCAUAUCUUGCCCAGUCUCAGAACUACUGAGCCACUUCCUGGCCAUCUGCAUGCUAUGUCUGGCACUUGUAUUUCUUCCCUCUCCUCCCUCCUUCCAACAACAUAUCUAAGAACAAUAAAUAAAUUAACA